CCCUUAGACGUUCUGGGCCGCACGCGCGCUACACUGACCAGUGCAACAAGCAUCCGUCCUUGGCCGACAGGCCCGGGCAAUCUUUGAACGCCGGUCGUGAUGGGGAUAGACCUUUGCAAUUUUUGGUCUUCAACGAGGAAUUCCUAGUAAACGCAAGUCAUCAACUUGCAUUGAUUACGUCCCUGCCCUUUGUACACACCGCCCGUCGCACCUACCGAUUGAAUGGUCCGGUGAAACCUCCGGAUUGGCGCGUGCCCUCGGGCGCCGCCGAGAAGUUGGUUAAACCUUACCAUUUAGAGGAAGGUGAAGUCGUAACA
rnacentral:rRNA from 1 species